rnacentral:rRNA from 1 species
UACGGAGGGUGCAAGCGUUAUCCGGAUUCACUGGGUUUAAAGGGUGUGUAGGCGGGUAUUUAAGUCAGUGGUGAAAUCUCUGAGCUCAACUCAGAAACUGCCAUUGAUACUAUUUAUCUUGAAUAUCGUUGAGGUUGGCGGAAUAUAUCAUGUAGCGGUGAAAUGCAUAGAUAUGAUAUAGAACACCGAUUGCGAAGGCAGCUAACUAAGCGAUGAUUGACGCUGAGGCGCGACAGCGUGGGGAGCAAACAGG